rnacentral:rRNA from 1 species
UCANGAUGAACGCUGGCGACGUGGAUAAGGCAUGCAAGUCGAACGGUUGUAGCAAUACAACAGUGGCGAACGGGUUAGUAACACGUAGAUAUCAACCCUUUACUCGGGCAUAACCUGGAGAAAUCUAGGCUAAUUCCCGAUAGUCCGGAAACGGUAAAGAUUUUUCGGUAAAGGAUGAGUCUGCGUCCUAUCAGCUAGUUGGUGAGGUAAUGGCUCACCAAGGCAAUGACGGGUAGGCGGAGUGAGAGCUUGACCGCCAACAAUGGCACUGAGACACGGGCCAUACUCCUACGGGAGGCAGCAGUCGAGAAUAUUUGACAAUGGGCGAAAGCCUGAUCAAGCGACGUCGCGUGUGGGAUUAAGAUCUUCGGAUUGUAAACCACUUUUCUAGGGGAAGAACUUUGACUGUACCCUAGGAAUAAGGGGUGACUAAACUCGUGCCAGCAGUAGCGGUAAUACGAGUGCCCCAAGCGUUAUCCGGAUUUAUUGGGCGUAAAGGGUCUGUAGGUGGUUUGUUAAGUUUCUCGUUAAAGCUCCAGGGCUUAACCUUGGAAAAGCGGGAAAAACUGGCAAACUAGAGGAUGUUAGAGGCUGAUGGAACACUUGGUGAAGGGGUGGAAUCCGUUGAUAUCAAGUGGAACACCGAAAGCGAAAGCAAUCAGCUGGGACAGUCCUGACACUGAAAGACGAAAGCGUGGGGAGAGAAAAGGAUUAGAUACCCUUGUAUUCCACGCCUUAAACGAUGAAUACUAGCUAUUGCAAGUGUCGACCCUUGCAGUGGCGAAGCUAACGCGUUAAGUAUUCCGCCUGGGAAGUACGGCCGCAAGGCUAAANUC